rnacentral:lncRNA from 1 species
UCGGUGAAGGUGGAAAGUGGUGGCGCGUGAAUGGGGAAUGCGAAAAAGAUGAAAGGGAAACGAAGCAAGUUUUGUUUUUGUCUUUUUGAAGACGGUGGUGGUAAAAGGGUAAAAAGAGAAAGAUGAGGGGGGAAAGUGAAAAUAAAAUAAAUAAAAUGAGAGAGAAUGAAAGAGAGAAGAAGGUGGCGGAUUAUGUAAGAGGAAAAUGGAAAAUGAAAAUUAGGGCUAUUUCUUCUAAGUACUUGCCCAGUCAAAUACAAAC